rnacentral:rRNA from 1 species
AUUGAACGCUGGCGGCAGGCCUAACACAUGCAAGUCGAGCGAACCUAGCUUGCUAGGUGAGCGGCGAACGGGUGAGUAACGCGUAGGAAUCUGCCUGGUAGUGGGGGACAACGUUCCGAAAGGAACGCUAAUACCGCAUACGCCCUACGGGGGAAAGCAGGGGAUCUUCGGACCUUGCGCUAUCAGAUGAGCCUGCGUCGGAUUAGCUAGUUGGUAGGGUAAAGGCCUACCAAGGCGACGAUCCGUAACUGGUCUGAGAGGAUGAUCAGUCACACCGGAACUGAGACACGGUCCGGACUCCUACGGGAGGCAGCAGUGGGGAAUAUUGGACAAUGGGGGCAACCCUGAUCCAGCCAUGCCGCGUGUGUGAAGAAGGCCUUCGGGUUGUAAAGCACUUUAGGUCGGGAGGAAGGUUCGCUGGCUAAUAUCCAGCGGAAUUGACGUUACCGACAGAAUAAGCACCGGCUAACUCCGUGCCAGCCGCCGCCGUAA